rnacentral:tRNA from 2 species
GGGCUCGUAGCUCAGUUGGUCAGAGCGCGCGCUUGAUAAGCGUGAGGUCGGAAGUUCAAAUCUUCCCGGGCCCACCA